rnacentral:rRNA from 1 species
GGACUACCCGGGUAUCUAAUCCUGUUUGCUCCCCACGCUUUCGUGCAUCAACGUCAGGAAUGAGCCAAGAAGCUGCCUUCGCCAUCGGUGUUCCUCCCGAGAUCUACGCAUUUUACCGCUACUCCGGGAAUUCCACUUCUCUCUCUCACCCUCUAGUCCGCCAGUUUCCAUUGCAGCCCCCCGGUUGGGCCGGAGAAUUUAACAACAGACUUAACAGGCCGUCUACGCACCCUUUACGCCCAAUUAUUCCGAAUAACGCUUGCACCCCUCGUAUUACCGCGGCUGCUGGCAC